rnacentral:rRNA from 1 species
CCUACGGGAGGCAGCAGUGGGGGAUAUUGCACAAUGGAGGAAACUCUGAUGCAGCGACGCCGCGUGAGGGAAGACGGUCUUCGGAUUGUAAACCUCUGUCUUUGGGGAAGAAAAUGACGGUACCUGAAGAAGAAGCCCCGGCUAACUACGUGCAAGCAGCCGCGGUAAUACGUAGGGGGCAAGCGUUAUCCGGAUGUACUGGGUGUAAAGGGGGCGCAGGCGGGGAUGCAAGCCAGGAGGUAAAGCCCGGGGCCCAACCCCGGGACUGCUCUUGGAACUGCGUGGCUAGAGUGCAGGAGGGGCAGGCGGAAUUCCUGGUGUAGCGGUGAAAUGCGUAGAUAUCAGGAGGAACACCGGUGGCGAAGGCGGCCUGCUGGACUGCAACUGACGUUGAGGCCCGAAAGCGUGGGGAGCAAACAGGAUUAGAUACCCGGGUAGUC